rnacentral:hammerhead_ribozyme from 1 species
AUCCAGCUGACGAGUCUCGAUCAGGACGAAACACGCGUCCCGGAU